AGGCCUGUCUCUGCCUCGGUGUGAACUGUAUUGGAGAGAUGUCCUCCCAGCGUGGGCUGCUGUCCUGCAGGGAUCUGAAGGGAGCCGAGCUCCUUCUGCAGAAGGGCGCUGAGAAGGGAGCUGGAAGGAAAAGAAGGAAACAUUCCUUCCUCAACUGGAGGAAGACACGCGGCCACACACAGAACCAGCGGCCCCAGGACCGUCACCCUGCGUGCCCGGGCCUGUCCCUCCUGACCCCAGGAUUAUAGUGGCGAGGCAGGGUGUUAGCCAAGCGGAUUGAGCCAGGACACAACACCGCGGAGCCCUGCAGGCGAGUCCUCCGGAGGCUGAGAGCAAACGGCUGCACUAGGAACCCAGCAGUCAGACCGGCCCCCACCCUGGAGUGAACACAUCGCCACUGCCAGGCAUCGCAGGGAGGAUUACCCCAAUGGCACCUGGCUGGGCGACGAGAACAACCCCGAGAUGCGGGUGCACUGCGCCAUCAUCCCCUCCGACAUGCUGCACAUCAGCACCAACUGCCGCACGGCCGAGGAGAUGGUGCUCACGCUGCUGGACUACCUCUUCCACCGCGAGGUGCAGGCUGUGUCCAGCCUCUCGGGGCAGGGCAAGCACGGGAAGAAGCAGCUGGACCCGCUCACCAUCUAUGGCAUCCGGUGUCACCUUUUCUAUAAAUUUGGCAUCACAGAAUCUGACUGGUACCGAAUCAAGCAGAGCAUCGACUCCAAGUGCCGCACGGCGUGGCGGCGCAAGCAGUGGGGCCAGAGCCUGGUGGUCAAGAGCUUCUCGUGGAGAAUGCCCAACUCAUCCUCCUACUGCCCCUCAGGAAUUUAAAGGAAAAAAGGAACAUAGCAAGGAGCGAAAUAGAAGACAUAAAAAAGAACCAUAUGGAACUCCUAGACUCGAAGAGCGAGGAGAGUUGUUGCCAGGCUU
rnacentral:lncRNA from 1 species